CUUUAUAUGAGAGUUUGAUCCUGGCUCAGGACGAACGCUGGCGGCGUGCCUAAUACAUGCAAGUCGAACGCUU
rnacentral:rRNA from 1 species